rnacentral:rRNA from 1 species
UACGUAGGGGGCAAGCGUUGUCCGGAUUUAUUGGGCGUAAAGAGCGUGUAGGCGGCCAGAUAGGUCAGCUGUGAAAACUCGAGGCUCAACCUCGAGAUGUCGGCUGAAACCAUCUGGCUAGAGUCCGGAAGAGGAGAAUGGAAUUCCCGGUGUAGCGGUGAAAUGCGCAGAUAUCGGGAGGAACACCAAUGGCGAAGGCAGCUCGCUGGGACGUGACUGACGCUGAGACGCGAAAGCGUGGGGAGCAAACAGG